CCUACGGGUGGCUGCAGUGAGGAAUAUUGGUCAAUGGGCGUAAGCCUGAACCAGCCAAGUCGCGUGAGGGAUGAAGGUUCUAUGGAUUGUAAACCUCUUUUAUAAGGGAAUAAAUUGUGGCACGUGUCCCCUUUUGUAUGUACCUUAUGAAUAAGGAUCGGCUAACUCCGUGCCAGCAGCCGCGGUAAUACGGAGGAUCCGAGCGUUAUCCGGAUUUAUUGGGUUUAAAGGGUGCGUAGGCGGCAUUUUAAGUCAGCGGUGAAAGUCUGUGGCUCAACCAUUGAAUUGCCGUUGAAACUGGGGGGCUUGAGUAUGUGUGAGGCAGGCGGAAUGCGUGGUGUAGCGGUGAAAUGCACAGAUAUCACGCAGAACCCCGAUUGCGAAGGCAGCCUGCCAGGGCAUGACUGACGCUGAUGCACGAAAGCGUGGGGAUCAAACAGGAUUAGAUACCCUAGUAGUC
rnacentral:rRNA from 1 species